rnacentral:rRNA from 1 species
AUUGAACGCUGGCGGCAUGCCUUACACAUGCAAGUCGAACGGCAGCACGGGAGCAAUCCUGGUGGCGAGUGGCGAACGGGUGAGUAAUAUAUCGGAACGUGCCCGGUCGUGGGGGAUAACGUAGCGAGAGCUACGCUAAUACCGCAUACGAUCUACGGAUGAAAGCGGGGGAUCGCAAGACCUCGCGCGAUUGGAGCGGCCGAUAUCAGAUUAGGUAGUUGGUGAGGUAAAGGCUCACCAAGCCGACGAUCUGUAGCUGGUCUGAGAGGACGACCAGCCACACUGGGACUGAGACACGGCCCAGACUCCUACGGGAGGCAGCAGUGGGAAUUUUGGACAAUGGCGCAAGCCUGAUCCAGCAAUGCCGCGUGCAGGAUGAAGGCC